UUAACAAAUUACUCACCACAUUUUUUUUCUUUUUUUUUUCAGCAACUUCGCAUGUAAAACGGUGCCGUUUGGGUGUAUUUAUCCAAUUUUACAGUGCAAAUUUUUUUCUCUCUCUUUUUUUUAGUUGUCUGCGUCACCUCCUCUGAAGAAAACCCCAAAUAAAAACUUUCGACAAAUUCCUUUUCUUAUCAUCUCGCUUCAGUCUGGUGGAUUAAUUCGCCUUCUUCAACGAUUUGUGGACAAGGCUUUGACGGCCGGCGGCAGGCACGUGGUGUUCUCCACAAUGCUACAAGAACAGGACCGGUAAUCGCGCCGGAGGAAUUAGGCGCCCUCUUCCCUAUUCCCCCGUUUUCCUUGACCGCCGCACGGGUUGGGUUUCGUCAAGGGAUAUGCCUUAAUUGAAUACGAGAAGUUUGAUGAGUCACAUAGAGCUAUAAGUGAAAUUGAUGGAACUUAUAUGCUCACUCACAUCAUAAACGUUAAUUGGGCAGUCAACAAAGGUCCAUUCAGAAGGAGGAACAUGAGGAGGAGAUCACCUCGUGGCCAUCGUUCGAGGAGUCCAAGGAGGAGAUUCUGACGUUGGUUUCUUGUGAGAGUUUGUGUGGCUUUGGUUUCGGAUGAAGAUGCUAACUUGAAUCUUGGCUAUAUGUUAAUUAACAAUAUGUAUGAUCGUCUUUUUCAGAAUUUUCUUUUUCACCCGCUUAUAUGCCCUUUGUAUUGACACUUGACAGGCUUGUUGGUGAUGAUGUUCUUAAACUAUUUAUCGCUUUGUAUCUAUCUUUCAGUAUUCUAAUUGAACUUUGUUCUCCACAGUGCUACAAGAGCAGGACCUGAAUUUGCGCAAGAGGAAUUACGCAUCCUCUUCCCUAUUCCGUAUUCCCUGUUCCCUAUUCCCCCAUUUUCCUUGCUCUUCAUAUUCCAUAAUUUGACCCAUAACUCACCUUUGCAGGACAGCUCUGAUAGAUAUUGGUGGCUUUAUUAUGGAUACAAAAAAAAGUCGUUUGUUUAAUACUGAUAGAUAUUGGUUUCUACAGAUAUUGAUAUAAUUAGGCUAUAAAUUUUAGGGUGUCACACUUAAAUCGUGUAUUGUCAACCUUUUCAUGGAGAUUAGAUGUAUUUGGCUUUAUUGGUACUGCCUUGUAUUUCUAAUUUAAAUAUUUUUAAUGGCUUUGGUUUUUGUUGUUGAGAGAAGUUAGAAUUUUGCAUUUAUUGUGAUAGGUUUGCUUGAAAUGGAGCCAGAAAUAACCGGCCAUCUUGGUAGAAUGCAAGAGAAAUGUUUUCCUUGAGAAUUUUGGAUUAGAUCCUUCAGUCUGUUGCGAAGAUGCCCUUCGACGGAUAUUGAGUGAGACAUCUUCGUCACGUCUGAAAUCUACUGGACCAAAAAUGUCGACGUGGGAUCUUCAGCCCUUUUAGAUCAUAAGAGAUCUAAUUUGCCUAAAACUUCUCUAGAACAGUUGAAAGAUGAAAUUCUUUCAAGAAAAAAACCUUCUCGUUUUUCAUGAAGAGGAAGAUAGAUACUAAGGCCAUAGAUUGUCGAUAUUAAAGGACGAUACAGAAGAAUGGUGUUAGGAAUGUGACCUGAAAAUUGAGGGCAAAAGAAAUGGCAGUGACUCGAAAGGGAGGAGGAAUAAGCUUUCGAAAAGAUUGUGGUUUCUAUAAAUAAGAUAUUUAUGUUUUGUAAUUUUAACAGAUUCUUAGCACUAGAUACUAUUAGCCAAAUGAAGUUAUGAGAUAUUGGAAAAUGUAUGAUUUUGUUUUAAUAUAUUUAUGCUUUAUGAAUUUU